AAUGUAGAAAAUAGUAAAAAUAAAGAAAAACCCUUGAAUGAGUAGGUGUGUUCAAACAUUUGACUGAUACUGUAUAAAUUUAAUUUGGUGAGAUGUCAAAAAGUAUAUGUUAGUUCAAGUAUUAAUAUGUCUGUUAAUCAGAUUCCAGGUUUAUCUUGAGACCUGAUUGUGAAUUAAUGAACUGAGUUGGAUUUAGACACGAGCACAAGCCUUUCAGCUGAAUUCCAAGACACACACCAACGACUCAUUAUAAAACUGUCUUUCAGCUGAAUUCCAAGACACACACACCAACGACUCAUUAUAAAACUGUCUUUCAGGUGAAUUCCAAGACACACACGUCAACGACUCAUUAUAAAACUGUCUUUCAGGUGAAUUCCAAGACACACACGUCAACGACUCAUUAUAAAACUGUCUUUCAGGUGAAUUCCAAGACACACACGUCAACGACUCAUUAUAAAACUGUCUUUCAGCUGAAUUCCAAGACACACACGUCAACGACUCAUUAUAAAACUGUCUUUCAGGUGAAUUCCAAGACACACACGUCAACGACUCAUUAUAAAACUGUCUUUCAGGUGAAUUCCAAGACACACACGUCAACGACUCAUUAUAAAACUGUCUUUCAGCUGAAUUCCAAGACACACGUCAACGACUCAUUAUAAAACUGUCUUUCAGCUGAAUUCCAAGACACACACCAACGACUCAUUAUAAAACUGUCUUUCAGGUGAAUUCCAAGACACACACACCAACGACUCAUUAUAAAACUGUCUUUCAGCUGAAUUCCAAGACACACACACCAACGACUCAUUAUAAAACUGUCUUUCAGCUGAAUUCCAAGACACACACGUCAACGACUCAUUAUAAAACUGUCUUUCAGCUGAAUUCCAAGACACACACCAACGACUCAUUAUAAAACUGUCUUUCAGCUGAAUUCCAAGACACACACCAACGACUCAUUAUAAAACUGUCUUUCAGCUGAAUUCCAAGACACACACACCAACGACUCAUUAUAAAACUGCCUUUCAGUUGAAUUCCAAGACACACGUCAACGACUCAUUAUAAAACUGUCUUUCAGCUGAAUUCCAAGACACACACACCAACGACUCAUUAUAAAACUGUCUUUCAGCUGAAUUCCAAGACACACACAGCCAGACGACUCAUUAUAAAACUGUCUUUCAGCUGAAUUCCAAGACACACACAGGUCAACGACUCAUUAUAAAACUGUCUUGCACUUCUGUACUAAGUAACAAUAUAGUAAUACUUGUAAUAUUUUGUUAUGUUUUGUAUUAUUUUGUAAUAUUUUUUUUAUAUUUUGUAAUAAUUUGCUGCUUACUCUGCUAUGCAUUGUUGCUGUAAACAGCCAUGUCAUUGUGAUAUUUACGCGCGGUACAAUCAUAUUUUGAUAAGUGUCAUUAUUUGAAGCCACGGAAGGAAUGCAACAGCCAUAUUACAGAGGAAGUUGGCUCCAAAAAUGUUACAACUUCCUGUUUUGUUUUUAGUAUUUGUGCUGUUUAUUGUAUAAACAGUAUUACACGGUGUUGCACAUCUACAAUAAGCACUUACAUUUUGUUGAUGUCCUAUGCAUAUCGUAAACCAAGUGUUAAAAUACACUCUUCUUGUUAUAACUGGGCAGUAUCAUAUGCCAUACAGUGUUAUCAACCAAAAAUAAAUAAAGCACAAGUAUUAUAGAAACAGA